rnacentral:rRNA from 1 species
UUCCGGUUGAUCCCGCCGGAGGUCACUGCUAUCGGGGUUCGAUUAAGCCAUGCGAGUCGAGAGGGUUCAGACCCUCGGCGGACUGCUCAGUAACACGUGGAUAAUCUGCCCUAUGGUGGAGGAUAACCCCGGGAAACUGGGGAUAAUACUCCAUAAGUCAGGAGUACUGGAAUGUCUCCUAACUGAAAGUUUCGGCGCCAUAGGAUGAAUCUGCGGCCGAUUAGGUAGUUGUUGGGGUAACGGCCCAACAAGCCCGUAAUCGGUACGGGUUGUGGGAGCAAGAGCCCGGAGAUGGAAUCUGAGACACGAUUCCAGGCCCUACGGGGCGCAGCAGGCGCGAAAACUUUACAAUGCAGAAAACUGUGAUAAGGGAACCCCGAGUGCCCGUACACGCGGGCUGUCCCGGUGUUUAAAACACAUCGGAAGAAAGGGCCGGGCAAGACCGGUGCCAGCCGCCGCGGUAAUACCGGCGGCUCGAGUGGUGACCACUUUUAUUGGGCUUAAAGCGUUCGUAGCUUGAUUUUUAAGUCUCUUGGGAAAUCCCACGGCUUAACUGUGAGGCGUCUAAGAGAUACUGGGAAUCUAGGGACCGGGAGAGGUAAGAGGUACUUCAGGGGUAGAAGUGAAAUUCUGUAAUCCUUGAGGGACCACCGAUGGCGAAGGCAUCUUACCAGAACGGCUUCGACAGUGAGGAACGAAAGCUGGGGGAGCGAACGGGAUUAGAUACCCCGGUAGUCCCAGCCGUAAACUAUGCGCGUUAGGUGUGCCUGUAACUACGAGUUACCGGGGUGCCGAAGUGAAAACGUGAAACGUGCCGCCUGGGAAGUACGGUCGCAAGGCUGAAACUUAAAGGAAUUGGCGGGGGAGCACCACCACGGGUGGAGCCUGCGGUUUAAUUGGAGUCAACGCCGGA